UACGGGGGGGGCAAGCGGUUGUUCGGAAUUACUGGGCGUAAAGGGCUCGUAGGCGGCCAACUAAGUCGGAUGUGAAAUCCCCAGGCUUAACCUGGGAACUGCAUCCGAUACUGGAUGGCUUGAAUCCGGGAGAGGGAUGCAGAAUUCCAGGUGUAGCGGUGAAAUGCGUAGAUAUCUGGAGGAAUACCGGUGGCGAAGGCGGCAUCCUGGACCGGCAUUGACGCUGAGUGAGCGAAAGCCAGGGGAGCAAACGGG
rnacentral:rRNA from 1 species